AAGCUAUUAAUUUCAAUUGGA
rnacentral:tRNA from 1 species